GGGAAUAUUACACAAUGGGGGAAACCCUGAUGCAGCGACGCCGCGUGAGUGAAGAAGUAUCUCGGUACGUAGAGCUCUAUCAGCAGGGAAGAAAAAAAGCCUUUGGCUUUGGACGGUACCUGACUAAGAAGCCCCGGCUAACUACGUGCCAGCAGCCGCGGUAAUACGUAGGGGGCAAGCGUUAUCCGGAUUUACUGGGUGUAAAGGGAGCGUAGACGGCUGUGCAAGUCUGAAGUGAAAGCCCAGGGCUCAACCCUGGGACUGCUUUGGAAACUGUGGAGCUAGAGUGCUGGAGAGGUAAGUGGAAUUCCUAGUGUAGCGGUGAAAUGCGUAGAUAUUAGGAGGAACACCAGUGGCGAAGGCGGCUUACUGGACAGUAACUGACGUUGAGGCUCGAAAGCGUGGGGAGCAA
rnacentral:rRNA from 1 species